UAUAUAAAUAUCCAAAGAGGUAGCAGCACUCCUGACUUUUAAUAUGACCUAAUAAAGAUUUGAACUUUUAAUUCCGUGAGUGCUGCUACCUCUUUGGAUAUUUGGAU